UUAAGCGACUAAGCGUACACGGUGGAUGCCCUGGCAGUCAGAGGCGAUGAAGGACGUGCUAAUCUGCGAAAAGCGUCGGUAAGGUGAUAUGAACCGUUAUAACCGGCGAUGUCCGAAUGGGGAAACCCAGUGCAAUUCGUUGCACUAUCGUUAACUGAAUACAUAGGUUAACGAGGCGAACCGGGGGAACUGAAACAUCUAAGUACCCCGAGGAAAAGAAAUCAACCGAGAUUCCCCCAGUAGCGGCGAGCGAACGGGGAGCAGCCCAGAGUCUGAAUCAGCUUGUGUGUUAGUGGAACGGUCUGGAAAGUCCGACGGUACAGGGUGAUAGUCCCGUACACCAAAAUGCACAGGCUGUGAACUCGAAGAGUAGGGCGGGACACGUGGUAUCCUGUCUGAAUAUGGGGGGACCAUCCUCCAAGGCUAAAUACUCCUGACUGACCGAUAGUGAACCAGUACCGUGAGGGAAAGGCGAAAAGAACCCCGGCGAGGGGAGUGAAAAAGAACCUGAAACCGUGUACGUACAAGCAGUGGGAGCACCUUCGGGUGUGACUGCGUACCUUUUGUAUAAUGGGUCAGCGACUUAUAUUCUGUAGCAAGGUUAACCGUAUAGGGGAGCCGCAGGGAAACCGAGUCUUAACUGGGCGUUAAGUUGCAGGGUAUAGACCCGAAACCCGGUGAUCUAGCCAUGGGCAGGUUGAAGGUUGGGUAACACUAACUGGAGGACCGAACCGACUAAUGUUGAAAAAUUAGCGGAUGACUUGUGGCUGGGGGUGAAAGGCCAAUCAAACCGGGAGAUAGCUGGUUCUCCCCGAAAGCUAUUUAGGUAGCGCCUCGUGAAUUCAUCUUCGGGGGUAGAGCACUGUUUCGGCUAGGGGGUCAUCCCGACUUACCAACCCGAUGCAAACUACGAAUACCGAAGAAUGUUAUCACGGGAGACACACGGCGGGUGCUAACGUCCGUCGUGAAGAGGGAAACAACCCAGACCGCCAGCUAAGGUCCCAAAGUCAUGGUUAAGUGGGAAACGAUGUGGGAAGGCACAGACAGCCAGGAUGUUGGCUUAGAAGCAGCCAUCAUUUAAAGAAAGCGUAAUAGCUCACUGGUCGAGUCGGCCUGCGCGGAAGAUGUAACGGGGCUAAACCAUGCACCGAAGCUGCGGCAGCGACACUAUGUGUUGUUGGGUAGGGGAGCGUUCUGUAAGCCUGCGAAGGUGUGCUGUGAGGCAUGCUGGAGGUAUCAGAAGUGCGAAUGCUGACAUAAGUAACGAUAAAGCGGGUGAAAAGCCCGCUCGCCGGAAGACCAAGGGUUCCUGUCCAACGUUAAUCGGGGCAGGGUGAGUCGACCCCUAAGGCGAGGCCGAAAGGCGUAGUCGAUGGGAAACAGGUUAAUAUUCCUGUACUUGGUGUUACUGCGAAGGGGGGACGGAGAAGGCUAUGUUAGCCGGGCGACGGUUGUCCCGGUUUAAGCAUGUAGGCUGGUUGUCCAGGCAAAUCCGGAUAAUCAAGGCUGAGGUGUGAUGACGAGGCACUACGGUGCUGAAGUAACAAAUGCCCUGCUUCCAGGAAAAGCCUCUAAGCAUCAGGUAACAUCAAAUCGUACCCCAAACCGACACAGGUGGUCAGGUAGAGAAUACCAAGGCGCUUGAGAGAACUCGGGUGAAGGAACUAGGCAAAAUGGUGCCGUAACUUCGGGAGAAGGCACGCUGGUGUGUAGGUGAAGUCCCUGCGGAUGGAGCUGAGACCAGUCGAAGAUACCAGCUGGCUGCAACUGUUUAUUAAAAACACAGCACUGUGCAAACACGAAAGUGGACGUAUACGGUGUGACGCCUGCCCGGUGCCGGAAGGUUAAUUGAUGGGGUUAUCCGUAAGGAGAAGCUCUUGAUCGAAGCCCCGGUAAACGGCGGCCGUAACUAUAACGGUCCUAAGGUAGCGAAAUUCCUUGUCGGGUAAGUUCCGACCUGCACGAAUGGCGUAAUGAUGGCCAGGCUGUCUCCACCCGAGACUCAGUGAAAUUGAACUCGCUGUGAAGAUGCAGUGUACCCGCGGCAAGACGGAAAGACCCCGUGAACCUUUACUAUAGCUUGACACUGAACAUUGAGCCUUGAUGUGUAGGAUAGGUGGGAGGCUUUGAAGCGUGGACGCCAGUCUGCGUGGAGCCAACCUUGAAAUACCACCCUUUAAUGUUUGAUGUUCUAACGUUGGCCCCUGACCGGGGUUGCGGACAGUGUCUGGUGGGUAGUUUGACUGGGGCGGUCUCCUCCCAAAGCGUAACGGAGGAGCACGAAGGUUAGCUAAUCCUGGUCGGACAUCAGGAGGUUAGUGCAAUGGCAUAAGCUAGCUUGACUGCGAGCGUGACGGCGCGAGCAGGUGCGAAAGCAGGUCAUAGUGAUCCGGUGGUUCUGAAUGGAAGGGCCAUCGCUCAACGGAUAAAAGGUACUCCGGGGAUAACAGGCUGAUACCGCCCAAGAGUUCAUAUCGACGGCGGUGUUUGGCACCUCGAUGUCGGCUCAUCACAUCCUGGGGCUGAAGUAGGUCCCAAGGGUAUGGCUGUUCGCCAUUUAAAGUGGUACGCGAGCUGGGUUUAGAACGUCGUGAGACAGUUCGGUCCCUAUCUGCCGUGGGCGCUGGAGAAUUGAGGGGGGCUGCUCCUAGUACGAGAGGACCGGAGUGGACGCAUCACUGGUGUUCGGGUUGUCAUGCCAAUGGCACUGCCCGGUAGCUAAAUGCGGAAGAGAUAAGUGCUGAAAGCAUCUAAGCACGAAACUUGCCCCGAGAUGAGUUCUCCCUGAGACUUUAAGUCUCCUGAAGGAACGUUAAAGACGAUGACGUUGAUAGGCCGGGUGUGUAAGCGCAGCGAUGCGUUGAGCUAACCGGUACUAAUGAACCGUGAGGCUUAACCUU
rnacentral:rRNA from 3 species